CAGUCGCCGCGGGAAUACAGAGGGUGCGAGCGUUAAUCUGAUUUACUGGGCGUAAAGCGUGCGUAGGCGGCUUCUUAAGUCGGAUGUGAAAUCCCUGAGCUUAACUUAGGAAUUGCAUUCGAUACUGGGAAGCUAGAGUAUGGGAGAGGAUGGUAGAAUUCCAGGUGUAGCGGUGAAAUGCGUAGAGAUCUGGAGGAAUACCGAUGGCGAAGGCAGCCAUCUGGCCUAAUACUGACGCUGAGGUACGAAAGCAUGGGGAGCAAACAGGAUUAGAGACCCCUGUAGUCCCUGUCUCUUAUAC
rnacentral:rRNA from 1 species